GCGGGCUGGAACCUCUCGGGGUUACAGCCUUGCUGAAUUAUUCACCCUUGUCUUUUGCGUACUUCUUGUUUCCUUGGUGGGUUCGCCCACCACUAGGACAAACAUAAACCUUUUGUAAUUGCAAUCAGCGUCAGUAACAAAUUAAUAAUUACAACUUUCAACAACGGAUCUCUUGGUUCUGGCAUCGAUGAAGAACGCAGCGAAAUGCGAUAAGUAGUGUGAAUUGCAGAAUUCAGUGAAUCAUCGAAUCUUUGAACGCACAUUGCGCCCUUUGGUAUUCCAAAGGGCAUGCCUGUUCGAGCGUCAUUUGUACCCUCAAGCUUUGCUUGGUGUUGGGCGUCUUGUCUCUAGCUUUGCUGGAGACUCGCCUUAAAGUAAUUGGCAGCCGGCCUACUGGUUUCGGAGCGCAGCACAAGUCGCACUCUCUAUCAGCAAAGGUCUAGCAUCCAUUAAGCCUUUUUUUCAACUUUUGACCUCGGAUCAGGUAGGGAUACCCGCUGAACUUAAGCAUAUCAAAACCGGGGAAGA
rnacentral:rRNA from 1 species